CUGACCAAAGAUCUGCUUGAAAAAAUCUCCUUCGAUAAUAGAAACUUCAUUCUAUGACAUCGCCUCUCAUCCUCCUGAGUUUUCUAUCUCGUGUCUGAUCCACCUGCAUCUGGAGCUCUAUCUCGCUCUGAGCUCCCCCUAGCUCUUGAAGCUCCAACUCGCAUUGGGCUCCCUGUCAGGUAGUAAUGUUCUCCUCUGAUCUUCUUUCCUUUCAAUAUCAUCCUAUCGCUGCACAUAACCUUCAAGAUUCUAUCACUAGCAACCCACCUAUAGCCAUUUGAAUCCAGUUUGCUCAGUGAGAUAAGAUUCCAUCUAAAAUUGGAUAUGUAUCGGAUCUUCUCCAAUCUUUCCACUGCACCAUCAUGUUC
rnacentral:lncRNA from 1 species